rnacentral:rRNA from 1 species
UACGUAGGGGGCGAGCGUUGUCCGAAGUUACUGGGCGUAAAGCGCGCGUAGGCGGUCAUUUAAGUCCGGGGUGAAAGGUUCAGCGCUCAACGUGAACAGUGCCCUGGAGACUGGGUGACUUGAGUGUGGGAGAGGGCAGUGGAAUUCCUGGUGUAGCGGUGAAAUGCGUAGAUAUCAGGAGGAACACCGAUGGCGAAGCAGCUGCCUGGCCUA